rnacentral:lncRNA from 1 species
UGGGCCUAACUCAACCCCAAAGCUAGCUUAUGAGGUGAGGAUUGCCCAAGCCAUAUAAAGAGACCAAAGACCUCAAAUCCCUCCGAUGUGGGACAACUCAACACCCCUCUCACGCCCAGAUCUCUGGAGCGUGGACAACAUAAAUGGGGGCCCAACAUCGGUAACAAUAAUUGGGAUGGGCCUGGCUCUGAUACCAUGAUAAGAAUGGACCUUGGGCCUCCCUCAACCCCAAAAGCUAGCUUAUAAGGUGAGGAUUGCCCAAGCCAUAUAAGGAAACCAAGGACC